rnacentral:snRNA from 1 species
GUGCUCACUUCAGCAGCAGCACAUUCUAAAACUAGAGUGAUACAGAGAAGUUUAGUAUGGCCCCUGCACAAAAAUGACAUUGAAAUUUGUGAAGCGUUCCAUAUUUUU